AACGAACGCUGGCGGCAUGCCUAACACAUGCAAGUCGAACGAGACCUUCGGGUCUAGUGGCGCACGGGUGCGUAACGCGUGGGAACCUGCCCUUAGGUUCGGAAUAACUCCCCGAAAGGGGUGCUAAUACCGGAUAAUGUCUUCGGACCAAAGAUUUAUCGCCUUUGGAUGGGCCCGCGUUGGAUUAGCUAGUUGGUAGGGUAAAAGCCUACCAAGGCGACGAUCCAUAGCUGGUCUGAGAGGAUGAUCAGCCACACUGGGACUGAGACACGGCCCAGACUCCUACGGGAGGCAGCAGUGGGGAAUAUUGGACAAUGGGCGAAAGCCUGAUCCAGCAAUGCCGCGUGAGUGAUGAAGGCCGUAGGGUUGUAAAGCUCUUUUACCCGGGACGAUAAUGACAGUACCGGGAGAAUAAGCUCCGGCUAACUCCGUG
rnacentral:rRNA from 1 species